rnacentral:rRNA from 1 species
GACGCUCUCCCCAAGGACGAAGCCAUGCAUGCCCGCUCACCCGGGACGCGGCGGACGGCCUGUUCAGGACAACGGUUGCACCCCCCGCGGCGGUUCCCUGCUAGCCGGACACCGCUGGCAACCCAGGCGCCAAGAAUGCGCGCAAGGGCGGGCGCCCGCGGGCGAGCAGCGUGACGCAG